UCGUCACACUAUCAUUAACUGAAUCCAUAGGUUAAUGAGGCGAACCGGGGGAACUGAAACAUCUAAGUACCCCGAGGAAAAGAAAUCAACCGAGAUUCCCCCAGUAGCGGCGAGCGAACGGGGAGGAGCCCAGAGCCUGAAUCAGCAUGUGUGUUAGUGGAAGCGUCUGGAAAGGCGCGCGAUACAGGGUGACAGCCCCGUACACAAAAGCGCAUGUGCUGUGAGCUCGAUGAGUAGGGCGGGACACGUGGUAUCCUGUCUGAAUAUGGGGGGACCAUCCUCCAAGGCUAAAUACUCCUGACUGACCGAUAGUGAACCAGUACCGUGAGGGAAAGGCGAAAAGAACCCCGGCGAGGGGAGUGAAAAAGAACCUGAAACCGUGUACGUACAAGCAGUGGGAGCACAGGUUUACCUGUGUGACUGCGUACCUUUUGUAUAAUGGGUCAGCGACUUAUAUUCUGUAGCAAGGUUAACCGAAUAGGGGAGCCGGAGGGAAACCGAGUCUUAAUUGGGCGUUAAGUUGCAGGGUAUAGACCCGAAACCCGGUGAUCUAGCCAUGGGCAGGUUGAAGGUUGGGUAACACUAACUGGAGGACCGAACCGACUAAUGUUGAAAAAUUAGCGGAUGACCUGUGGCUGGGGGUGAAAGGCCAAUCAAACCGGGAGAUAGCUGGUUCUCCCCGAAAGCUAUUUAGGUAGCGCCUCGUGAAUUCAUCUCCGGGGGUAGAGCACUGUUUCGGCUAGGGGGCCAUCCCGGCUUACCAACCCGAUGCAAACUGCGAAUACCGGAGAAUGUUAUCACGGGAGACACACGGCGGGUGCUAACGUCCGUCGUGAAGAGGGAAACAACCCAGACCGCCAGCUAAGGUCCCAAAGUCAUGGUUAAGUGGGAAACGAUGUGGGAAGGCCCAGACAGCCAGGAUGUUGGCUUAGAAGCAGCCAUCAUUUAAAGAAAGCGUAAUAGCUCACUGGUCGAGUCGGCCUGCGCGGAAGAUGUAACGGGGCUAAACCAUGCACCGAAGCUGCGGCAGCGACACUGUGUGUUGUUGGGUAGGGGAGCGUUCUGUAAGCCUGCGAAGGUGGCCUGUGAGGGUUGCUGGAGGUAUCAGAAGUGCGAAUGCUGACAUAAGUAACGAUAAAGCGGGUGAAAAGCCCGCUCGCCGGAAGACCAAGGGUUCCUGUCCAACGUUAAUCGGGGCAGGGUGAGUCGACCCCUAAGGCGAGGCCGAAAGGCGUAGUCGAUGGGAAACGGGUUAAUAUUCCCGUACUUGGUGUUACUGCGAAGGGGGGACGGAGAAGGCUAUGUUGGCCGGGCGACGGUUGUCCCGGUUUAAGCGUGUAGGUGUGUGUUCCAGGUAAAUCCGGUUCACUUUAACACUGAGGCGUGACGACGAGGCACUACGGUGCUGAAGCAACAAAUGCCCUGCUUCCAGGAAAAGCCUCUAAGCAUCAGGUAACAUCAAAUCGUACCCCAAACCGACACAGGUGGUCAGGUAGAGAAUACCAAGGCGCUUGAGAGAACUCGGGUGAAGGAACUAGGCAAAAUGGUGCCGUAACUUCGGGAGAAGGCACGCUGACACGUAGGUGAAGUGAUUUACUCAUGGAGCUGAAGUCAGUCGAAGAUACCAGCUGGCUGCAACUGUUUAUUAAAAACACAGCACUGUGCAAACACGAAAGUGGACGUAUACGGUGUGACGCCUGCCCGGUGCCGGAAGGUUAAUUGAUGGGGUCAGCGCAAGCGAAGCUCCUGAUCGAAGCCCCGGUAAACGGCGGCCGUAACUAUAACGGUCCUAAGGUAGCGAAAUUCCUUGUCGGGUAAGUUCCGACCUGCACGAAUGGCGUAAUGAUGGCCAGGCUGUCUCCACCCGAGACUCAGUGAAAUUGAACUCGCUGUGAAGAUGCAGUGUACCCGCGGCAAGACGGAAAGACCCCGUGAACCUUUACUAUAGCUUGACACUGAACAUUGAGCCUUGAUGUGUAGGAUAGGUGGGAGGCUUUGAAGUGUGGACGCCAGUCUGCAUGGAGCCGACCUUGAAAUACCACCCUUUAAUGUUUGAUGUUCUAACGUGGACCCGUUACCCGGGUUGCGGACAGUGUCUGGUGGGUAGUUUGACUGGGGCGGUCUCCUCCUAAAGAGUAACGGAGGAGCACGAAGGUUGGCUAAUCCUGGUCGGACAUCAGGAGGUUAGUGCAAUGGCAUAAGCCAGCUUGACUGCGAGCGUGACGGCGCGAGCAGGUGCGAAAGCAGGUCAUAGUGAUCCGGUGGUUCUGAAUGGAAGGGCCAUCGCUCAACGGAUAAAAGGUACUCCGGGGAUAACAGGCUGAUACCGCCCAAGAGUUCAUAUCGACGGCGGUGUUUGGCACCUCGAUGUCGGCUCAUCACAUCCUGGGGCUGAAGUAGGUCCCAAGGGUAUGGCUGUUCGCCAUUUAAAGUGGUACGCGAGCUGGGUUUAGAACGUCGUGAGACAGUUCGGUCCCUAUCUGCCGUGGGCGCUGGAGAACUGAGGGGGGCUGCUCCUAGUACGAGAGGACCGGAGUGGACGCAUCACUGGUGUUCGGGUUGUCAUGCCAAUGGCACUGCCCGGUAGCUAAAUGCGGAAGAGAUAAGUGCUGAAAGCAUCUAAGCACGAAACUUGCCCCGAGAUGAGUUCUCCCUGAGACUUAGAGUCUCCUGAAGGAACGUUGAAGACGACGACGUUGAUAGGCCGGGUGUGUAAGCGCAGCGAUGCGUUGAGCUAACCGGUACUAAUGAACCGUGAGGCUUAACCUUACAACGCCGAAG
rnacentral:rRNA from 1 species